GUGCUUGUAGCUCAACUGGAUAGAGCGUUGGCCUCCGGAGCCAAAGGUUGCCCGUUCAAGUCGGGUCAAGCACA
rnacentral:tRNA from 2 species